rnacentral:rRNA from 1 species
GGGGGAAUAUUGGGCAAUGGGCGCAAGCCUGACCCAGCAAUGCCGCGUGAAGGAAGAAGGCCCUCGGGUUGUAAACUUCUUUUAUCAGGGACGAAGGAUGUGACGGUACCUGAUGAAUAAGCUCCGGCUAACUACGUGCCAGCAGCCGCGGUAAUACGUAGGGAACAAGCGUUAUCCGGAUUUACUGGGUGUAAAGGGCGCGUAGGCGGGAUGGCAAGUCAGAUGUGAAAUCCAAGGGCUCAACCCUUGAACUGCAUUUGAAACUGUCGUUCUUGAGUACUGGAGAGGUUGACGGAAUUCCUAGUGUAGCGGUGAAAUGCGUAGAUAUUAGGAGGAACACCAGUGGCGAAGGCGGUCAACUGGACAGCAACUGACGCUGAGGCGCGAAAGCGUGGGGAGCAAACAGGAUUAGAUACC